GUCCACGCCCUAAACGAUGAUGACUAGUUGUUGGAGGAGUUAAAUCCUUUAGUAACGCAGCUAACGCGUGAAGUCAUCCGCCUGGGGAGUACGGUCGCAAGAUUAAAACUCAAAGGAAUUGACGGGGCCCGCACAAGCGGUGGAUGAUGUGGUUUAAUUCGAUGCAACGCGAAAAACCUUACCUACCCUUGACAUGUCAGGAAUCCUCCAGAGACGGGGGAGUGCCCGAAAGGGAGCCUGAACACAGGUGCUGCAUGGCUGUCGU
rnacentral:rRNA from 1 species